GUGCUUGCUUUCACAGCACAGAUUCUAAAAUUGGGACAAAAAGAGAGAUUAGCAUGGUCCCUAUGCAAGGAUGACACAGUAAUUCAUGAAGUGUUCCAUAUUUUU